rnacentral:rRNA from 1 species
GACGAACGCUGGCGGCGUGCCUAAUACAUGCAAGUAGAACGCUGAAGGAGGAGCUUGCUUCUCUGGAUGAGUUGCGAACGGGUGAGUAACGCGUAGGUAACCUGCCUGGUAGCGGGGGAUAACUAUUGGAAACGAUAGCUAAUACCGCAUAAUAGUAGAUGUUGCAUGACAUUUGCUUAAAAGGUGCAAUUGCAUCACUACCAGAUGGACCUGCGUUGUAUUAGCUAGUUGGUGGGGUAACGGCUCACCAAGGCGACGAUACAUAGCCGACCUGAGAGGGUGAUCGGCCACACUGGGACUGAGACACGGCCCAGACUCCUACGGGAGGCAGCAGUAGGGAAUCUUCGGCAAUGGACGGAAGUCUGACCGCGCAACGCCGCGUGAGGGAAGAAGGUUGUCGGAUCGUAAAGCUCUGUUGUAAGAGAAGAACGAGUGUGAGAGUGGAAAGUUCACACUGUGACGGUAUCUUACCAGAAAGGGACGGCUAACUACGUG